rnacentral:piRNA from 1 species
UUUGGCAAUCCUGACUCUAUCAAACUGGAC